AUUGAACGCUGGCGGCAGGCUUAACACAUGCAAGUCGAGCGAGCGGCGGACGGGUGAGUAAUGUCUGGGAAACUGCCUGAUGGAGGGGGAUAACUACUGGAAACGGUAGCUAAUACCGCAUACCAUCAGAUGUGCCCAGAUGGGAUUAGCUAGUAGGUGGGGUAAUGGCUCACCUAGGCGACGAUCCCUAGCUGGUCUGAGAGGAUGACCAGCCACACUGGAACUGAUACACGGUCCAGACUCCUACGGGAGGCAGCAGGGGGGAAUAUUGCACAAUGGGCGAAAGACUGAUGCAGACAUGCCGCGUGUGUGAAGAAGGCCUUCGGGUUGUAAAGCACUUUCAGCAAGGAGGCGUUACUCACAGAAGAAGCACCGGCUAACCCCGUGCCAGCAGCCGCGGUAAUUC
rnacentral:rRNA from 1 species